rnacentral:rRNA from 1 species
ACGUAGGUGGCGAGCGUUGUCCGGAUUUACUGGGCGUAAAGGGAGCGUAGGCGGAUUUUUAAGUGAGAUGUGAAAUACUCGGGCUUAACCUGAGUGCUGCAUUUCAAACUGGAAGUCUAGAGUGCAGGAGAGGAGAAGGGAAUUCCUAGUGUAGCGGUGAAAUGCGUAGAUAUUAGGAGGAACACCAGUUGCGAAGGCGGCUCUCUGGACUGUAACUGACACUGAGGCACGAAAGCGUGGGGAGCAAACAGGAUUAGAUACUCUGGUAGUCCACGCCGUAAACGAUGAGUACUAGCUGUCGGAGGUGACCCCCUUCGGUGACGCAGCUAACGCAUUAAGUACUCCGCCUGGGAAGUACGCUCGCAAGAGUG